AAACCAGCACCUCAAGUGGUCAGGAGGAUUAUUGGGCCUAAAGCAUCCGUAGCCUGUUCUGUAAGUUUCCGGUUAAAUCCAUUAGCUCAACUAAUGGGCCGCCGAAAAUACUGCAAAACUAGGGAGUGGGAGAGGUAGACGGUACUCGGUAGGAAGGGGUAAAAUCCUUUGAUCUAUUGAUGACCACCUGUGGCGAAGGCGGUCUACCAGAACACGUCCGACGGUGAGGGAUGAAAUCUGGGGGAGCAAACCGGAUUAGAAACCCGUGUAGUCC
rnacentral:rRNA from 1 species